GCUGGGCGUGGUGGCUUCUGCCUGUAGUCCCAGCUACUCGGGAGGCUGAGGUGGGAGGAUCGCUUGAGCCCAGGAGUUCUGGGCUAUAUUGUGCUAUGCUGAUCAGGUGUCCACACUAAGUUUGGCAUCAAUAUGGUGACCUCCCAGGAGUGGGGGACAACCAGGUUGCCUAAGGAGGGUUGAACUGGCUCAGGUCGGAAACGGAGCACGUCAAAACUCCCGUGCUGAUUAGCAGUGGGAUCGCGCCUGUGAACAGCCACUGCACUCCAGCCUGGGCAACAUAGCAAGACCCUGUCUCU
rnacentral:SRP_RNA from 1 species